UACGUAGGUGGCAAGCGUUGUCCGGAUUUACUGGGCGUAAAGGGCGUGCAGGCGGUUUGUUAAGUGCAGGGUGAAAGCUCCCGGCUCAACUGGGAGAGGUCCUUGCAUACUGGCAAACUCGAGGGAGGCAGAGGAAAGUGGAAUUCCCGGUGUAGUGGUGAAAUGCGUAGAGAUCCGGAGGAACACCAGUGGCGAAGGCGACACGCUGGGCCAUACCUGACGCUAAAGCGCGACAGCAUGGGGAGCAAACGGG
rnacentral:rRNA from 1 species